rnacentral:rRNA from 1 species
UGCGUAGGUGGUGAGGUAAGUCGGAUGUGAAAUCUCCGGGCUCAACCCGGAAAUGGCAUUGGAAACUACCUUGCUAGAGGAUUUGAGGGGGGAUUGGAAUACUUGGUGUAGCAGUGAAAUGCGUAGAUAUCAAGUGGAACACCAGUGGCGAAGGCGAAUCCCUGGAAAAUACCUGACACUGAGGCACGAAAGUAGGGAGGCAAACA